rnacentral:rRNA from 1 species
AGCCAUGCAUGUGUAAGCACAGACCUUAAAACGGUGAAGCUGCGAAUGGCUCAUUAGGCCACCCAUGAUUUAUUAGAUCGUAAUUUUCUUACUUGGAUAACUGUGGUAAUUCUAGAGCUAAUACAUGCGUAUAAAGCUCCAACUCCGGCGCGAGUCGGAGGAAGAGCGCGUUUAUUAGAUCAAAACCAAUCGGUGGCCUUCUCGGUCGCCGUAACGGUGGUGACUCUGGAUAACUUUGAGCGGAUCGCAUGGCCUCGAGCCGGCGACGUAUCUUUCAAGUGUGUGCCCUAUCAACUGUCGAUGGUAAGUGAUAUGCUUACCAUGGUGGUAACGGGUAACGGGGAAUCAGGGUUCGAUUCCGGAGAGGGAGCAUGAGAAACGGCUACCACAUCCGAAGGAAGGCGAGCGAGGCGCGCAAAUUACCCGACUCCCGACGCGGGGAGGUAGUGACGAGAGAGAUAACGAUACGGGACUCUUUCGAGGCCCCGUGAUCGGGAUGAGUACGACUUUGAGAUCCUUGAACGAGGGUCCGUUGGGAGGGCGGAGUCUGG